rnacentral:lncRNA from 1 species
UUUGAUAAUGAUGAUAUUGAAGUUUUCUUUAAAUUGUAUUUGUUAUUAUAUGCUGAUGAUACUGUUAUAUUUGCUGAGUCUGCUACUGAAUUACAAUCUGCAUUAAAUGCCAUGUAUUUGUAUUGUGAAACAUGGAAGCUUAGUGUUAAUGUAGCCAAAACCAAUAUUGUGAUAUUUUCAAAAAACAGACAGGGUGAAAACACUCAAUUUUUCUAUAACAAUGAACCAAUAGCUGUGUUAGAUGAUUUUCUAUAUUUGGGUACAGUUUUUUCUAGAAAAGGUACUUUUCACAAUAAUAAGGCUAGACUUGUACAACAAGCUAGAAAAGCUAUGUUCUAUGUUUUAUGUAAAGCGAGAAAGCUUAGUUUGCCAAUAGAUAUUUUGUUACAAUUAUUUGAUGCAAUGGUGGCACCUAUUUUGUUAUAUGGUGCAGAAGUAUGGGGUUAUGAAAAUAAUGACAUUAUUGAGUCUUUGCAUUUAGAAUUUUGCAAGUAUAUAUUAAAGGUUAAAAAAUGUACGCCAAAUUAUAUUGUAUAUGGCGAACUUGGUAGAACACCCAUGUCUAUAUGUAUUAAAGCUAGAAUGGUUGGUUUUUGGCAGCGAAUUUUAAAUGGCAAAGAAGAGAAAAAUAUCUCGAACAUUGUAUGAUAUGUUGCAUAAACUGAAUGAAGGUGAUGUGUACCAUUCUAAAUGGUUAUUAUAUAUAAAGGAUAUUUUAAUUGAAUGUGGUUAUGGAAAUUAUUGGUAUGACCAAUCUGUAUUAAGAAAUAUAAACCUGUCUAAAAAUGUAAAGCAAGUUCUUCAUGAAAAAUUUGUAGAAGGUUGGAAAUUACAAGUAUAUGACUCACCGAAGUGUAUAAAUUACCGUAUUUAUAAAUCUGAUUUUAAAUUUGAGAAUUAUCUCACUGUACUUCCACCUGAUUUAAUGUAUAAUCUUACUAAGUUUAGAUGCGGUAGCCACAAAUUGCCAAUUGAAGCUGGUAGAUUUUUUAGUAUCAAUAGAGCUGAAAGAAUUUGUGAUCUUUGUAAUAAGCAAGAACUGGGUGAUGAAUUUCAUUAUAUAUUUAAUUGUAACUUUUUUACGCAAGAAAGACUAAAGUUUAUACCUGAUCAUAUAUAUAAAAACAAAAAUACUGUAAGCUUGUCAAAUUUAAUGAGUAGUCAAGAUAAAUAUGUACUUGUUGGAUUGGCAAAAUUUUGCAAAAUUGUUAUGUCUGUAUUUAAAUGAUAAUAUAUGGAUAUUACUCUUUCAUCUGCAUACACCUACUUCAUAUGUAUAUAUGUUAGUUCAUGCAUUACUGUUGUUUGUUAAAUUUAUUGUUUGUUAAAUUCAUUGUACUAUUAUGCCUCAUGUGAGGCCUUUAGUGAAAAUAAAAGUUUCAAAGUUUCAAAGUUUCAAAGUUUCAUCUG